rnacentral:rRNA from 1 species
UACCAGCACCCCGAGUGGUCGGGACGUUAUUGGGCCUAAAGCAUCCGUAGCCGGUUCUACAAGUCUUCCGUUAAAUCCAACUGCUUAACAGAUGGGCUGCGGAAGAUACUAUAGGGCUAGGAGGCGGGAGAGGCAAGCGGUACUCAGUGGGUAGGGGUAAAAUCCUCUGAUCCAUUGAAGACCACCAGUGGCGAAGGCGGCUUGCCAGAACGCGCUCGACGGUGAGGGAUGAAAGCUGGGGGAGCAAACCGG